UACGUAGGGGCCAAGCGUUGUCCGGAUUUAUUGGGCGUAAAGAGCUCGUAGGCGGUUCGGCAAGUCAGCUGUGAAAUCUCCACGCUCAACGUGGAGGGGUCAGCUGAUACUGCUGUGACUCGAGUCCGGUAGGGGAGUGGUGGAAUUCCCGGUGGUAGCGGGUGAAAUGCGUAGAUAUCGUAAGGAAGACCAGUGGCGAAGGCGGGUCUCGUGGACAGUUCCUGACGCUGAGGCACGAAGGUCAGGGGAGCAAACGGG
rnacentral:rRNA from 1 species